GUUGGUGAACCUGCGGAAGGAUCAUUAA
rnacentral:rRNA from 1 species